CCUACGGGCGGCAGCAGUGGGGAAUUUUGGACAAUGGGCGAAAGCCUGAUCCAGCGACGCCGCGUGGAGGACGAAGGUCUUCGGAUUGUAAACUCCUUUUGCAGGGGACGAAAAAAAUGACGGUACUCUGCGAAUAAGCCACGGCUAACUACGUGCCAGCAGCCGCGGUAAUACGUAGGUGGCGAGCGUUACUCGGAAUCACUAGGCGUAAAGCGCGUGUAGGCGGUAUUUUAAGUCUGUUGUGAAAUCUUAUGGCUAAACCAUAAAAUGUCGACAGAUACUAAAGUACUAGAGUGAGGAAGGGGAAACUGGAAUUCCAGGUGUAGCGGUGGAAUGCUUAGAUAUCUGGAAGACCGCCAAAGGCGAAGGCGGGUUUCUGGGCC
rnacentral:rRNA from 1 species